rnacentral:rRNA from 1 species
UACGAAGGGGGGCUAGCGUUGCUCGGAAUCACUGGGCGUAAAGCGCACGUAGGCGGAUCGUUAAGUCGGGGGUGAAAUCCUGGAGCUCAACUCCAGAACUGCCUUCGAUACUGGCGAUCUUGAGUCCGGAAGAGGUGAGUGGAACUCCUAGUGUAGAGGUGGAAUUCGUAGAUAUUAGGAAGAACACCAGUGGCGAAGGCGGCUCACUGGUCCGGGUACUCGACGCCU